rnacentral:rRNA from 1 species
CACGUAGUUAGCCGUGGCUUCCUCCGUGGGUACCGUCAUUAUCGUCCCCACUGACAGAGGUUUACAAUCCGAAAACCUUCUUCCCUCACGCGGCGUCGCUGGAUAAGGGUUUCCCCCAUUGUCCAAUAUUCCCCACUGCUGCCUCCCGUAGGAGUCUGGGCCGUGUCUCAGUCCCAAUGUGGCCGAUCAACCUCUCAGUCCGGCUACUGAUCGUCGACUUGGUGGGCCGUUACCUCACCAACUAUCUAAUCAGACGCGAGCCCAUCUUUCAGCGAUAAAUCUUUGGUACCAAAAGGAUGCCCCUCUGGCACGUUAUGCGGUAUUAGCAGUCGUUUCCAACUGUUGUCCCCCACUGAAAGGCAGGUUGCUCACGUGUUACUCACCCGUCCGCCACUGAUCCGAGGAGCAAGCUCCUCUUCACCGUUCGACUUGCAUGUGUUAGGCGCGCCGCCAGCGUUCGUCCUGAGCCAGGAUCAAACUCU